UACGGAGGGUGCGAGCGUUGUUCGGAAUUACUGGGCGUAAAGCGCGUGUAGGCGGCCUUCUAAGUCUGGUGUGAAAGCCCGGGGCUCACCCCCGGAAGUGCAUUGGAUACUGGGAGGCUGGAGUACCGGAGAGGAGGGUGGAAUUCCUGGUGUAGCGGUGAAAUGCGCAGAUAUCCGAAGGAACACCGGUGGCGAAGGCGGCUUCCUGGACCGACACUGACGCUGAGGCGCGAAAGCUAGGGGAGCAAACGGG
rnacentral:rRNA from 1 species